UGAGGCAGGAGAAUUGCUUGAACCCAGGAAAUGGAGGCUGCAGUGAACUGAGAUCGUGCCACUGCACUCCAGCCUGGGUGACAGAGCGAGACUCCA
ensembl:miRNA